UACGUAGGGUGCGAGCGUUGUCCGGAAUUACUGGGCGUAAAGAGCUCGUAGGUGGUUUGUCGCGUUGUUCGUGAAAACUCACAGCUUAACUGUGGGCGUGCGGGCGAUACGGGCAGACUGGAGUACUGCAGGGGAGACUGGAAUUCCUGGUGUAGCGGUGGAAUGCGCAGAUAUCAGGAGGAACACCGGUGGCGAAAGCGGCGCGCUGGACCUCUACUGACGCUGAGGCGCGAAAGCCAGGGGAGCGAACGGG
rnacentral:rRNA from 1 species